UGAACAAAUUAGGGUUUUGACUA
rnacentral:siRNA from 1 species